UAGGUUCUGAUAAUUCAAAAUGGUGAUGGUAGGAACUAUGGAGGCUAUAUCCAUAUGACGGUACUAGGGAGUGCUGGUUGAGUAUCAACCAAAAUGCAUGUUUUCAAGUUCAUAGAUAGGAAACACUCAACCUAAUGACCAAGAAGAAUCUGCCAUACAGAGGAGGCUUAAAUCAGACAAAGCUUAUACACAGACACACUAUAGACAGAUGUCACAGAGGAUUUCCAUCUUUUCCCCACUUUUUCAGCACUGACUUCUUUUUUCCUCACAGAAGAACAUCUUAAACCGCUUGAAAUGUCUUGCAAAAUGUUUCAUCUCUCCAAAGAGAAAAUUACCCUUAUAUGCUAGAAAACUGCCACUCCAUAAUAUAUCAAAGAAGAGGAAAAAACUGUUAUGAUGUGUAAGUAUUAGAAACUUUGAGAGAUGGCAAUGCAAUUAAAGAUUUGUGGUUUCCAGGAAAUUAUGCAAGUUAAAGAAUCUGAAUGUUCCCCACUUUAGAUCAAUCCUUAGACAAAAUUUCUCUACUGCAAAUGAGAAAUAGACUAGCUUAUGCCUCACAAGCCUAACCUAAGAGAACAUAGGAUAAAGAAAAGAAGAACACACUCUUUUGGCAUAAUGUACAAAAAGCAUGUCAACAAAGGUCAUAAAUCUUUAUAUAAAAUCAGAAAUAGAGCUACUGAUAGGGAGUAAACUAUCUUGGUGGGAACCAUCUUUUUUAAUAUACUAGCUCAAAAAUUAUAUUUAUAUACAUAUUCGUCCAUUUUCAUACUGCUGUGAAGAACAUCCUAAGACUGGGUAAUUUGUAAAGGAAUGAGGUUUAAUUGACUCUCAGUUCAACGUGGCUCAGAAGACCUCAGGAAACCGACAAUCAUAGCGGAAGGCAAGUGGGAAGCAAGGCACCUUCUUCACAAGAUGGCAGGAAGUGCUGAGUGAAGGGGGAAGAACCCUUUAUAAAACCAUCAGAUCUUGUGAGAACUCACUCUUUAUCAAGAGAACAGCAUGGAGGAAAACAUCCCUAUGGUUUAAUAACUUCUAUCUGUUCUCUCCCCUGACGUGGGGAUUAUGGGGAUUAUAAUUCAAGAUGUGAUGUGGGUGGAGACAUAAAGCCUAACCAUAUCAACAUAGUAAAU
rnacentral:lncRNA from 1 species